AAAGAUGACAUUGUGACUUCUGUGAUGGAUCACCCACCUCGAGCGAGUUUAAAGUCUCUGUAAAUUGAACUUCUCAUUGUAGAGAUAUGAGAAAACUGCAGUCGCCUUCAAGCUCCUCUCUGCCUCGCCACACUCUCAUGCCCGGUCCUUGUUUUCAUCCUCUCAUCCGUUCAGUGAGGGAAGGCCAUUGCAGACAAUCUAUAAUGAAAGGGUCACAGAAAUCCUUUCAAGACCACAGAACAGGAAAAAAAGCACAAUGUCCUCAUUUUGUUUUCUUAAAUGCUUCGCUACACGAUGAAGGAGUUCGACUGAAACACGAAAGGAAGUUUGCCAAUCAGAAGAAAGUACUUCACAAUCGGAACAUUGGACAGAGCUUAAAUGUUUCAGUAAAUCAGAGCAAUGGGACUGCCAUUAAAACUCAAGCCACCAGGAAAUGAGGUAUAAAGAAAACUGAAGACUGAAGCCCAACUAUCCUGCAAUGUUCAACACGCCCUACAAUACAAACAAGGAGCUUAAGUUAUUCUUAGAGUCACACCAGUAAUAAAAGAUAAAA